rnacentral:rRNA from 1 species
UACGGAGGAUGCGAGCGUUAUCCGGAUUUAUUGGGUUUAAAGGGUGCGUAGGCGGGCUUUUAAGUCAGCGGUAAGAAUUCGGGGCUCAACCCCGUCCGGCCGUUGAAACUGGGGGCCUUGAGUGGGCGAGAAGAAGGCGGAAUGCGUGGUGUAGCGGUGAAAUGCAUAGAUAUCACGCAGAACCCCGAUUGCGAAGGCAGCCUUCCGGCGCCCUACUGACGCUGAGGCACGAAAGUGCGGGGAUCGAACAGG